UCGCACCUACCGAUUGAAUGGUCCGGUGAAACUCUCGGAUCGUGGCUGGCACCGUCCUUGUGGCGGCUCGGCCGUGAAAAGUUAGUUAAACCUUAUCAUUUAGAGGAAGGUGAAGUCGUAACAAGGUUUCCGUAGGUGAACCUGCAGAAGGAUCA
rnacentral:rRNA from 1 species